rnacentral:lncRNA from 1 species
CUCCGUCCUCCACUGCUGAAGCGACUGCGAGGAGCCAGAUGCCGACUGUGAGCCGCUGCCUGUGGAUAUCGCGGAUGCCAGUGCAGGCGAGAGCUAGUGGAGAGACAGACCCAUUUACACUCAGCCAAGGCGAAUAACGGAAGGGGAGGCAGUGGAAGAGAUAAGGAGAGGAGGUUUUUCAGAGUGGUUUUCAGCUUCGGAAGAGGAGCUAUGAUAGCAGAGGAGGACUCGGAAUUUUGAGCACCACGAGAGGAAGAAAAAAACGCGUUAUCCAGUUCUGCUGCGGCUAGUGAGCGCAUUCUCUGCUCGGUUUGGAAUAGCCUACAGUGUGUUUACAUGAGACCAUGGAGAUACGGCUUGGAUUUAUCAAACGCCACUUCGACAGUUUGUGAAAAAAAUUGGACCUUCAUUUUUCAACGGCAUUUUACUCUCUUUUUAUUCGUUGGGAUUGUGUUUUUUAGUGUAUUUUUUCCGUUGGCAUAUUUUUUGUUUUAUCUAUGGUGUUUUAUUAUUUAUGUCGUCUUUUCCUUCUUUCCCAAUUUCUUAUUUUUGUAUUAAUCGGUUUUGGAGGAGAGCUCGGAGUGAAGAUUUGUGGAGAGAAGAUGCUGCGCUGCUCGUGUGAAUGAUAUACUCUCUCCCCAACUGAGACGUGCCAUGGAUGGAAAACUUCAUUUGCAUCUACGAAACCGAUCGGGAAAUAUCCGUUGCAUCGAAUAACUACUGCUGACAUCGAUCAGGAGAGAGAGAGCGGGGAGAGGGAGAAGCGAGAGGAGAGUGAGUUUGACAGCUGGUGUGCAGACAGGGCUUCACAGCGACAGCUCUCCCCUAGAUGGAGAGAUGGAGAGGGGAUGAGAAGAGAUGGAGAGAGGAGAGAAAAGGAGGGGAGAUUUGGAUGGAUGGAGGAGAGGUCGUCCAAAUUCCUUGUGGCUCUCAUCUCCUGUAGCUCCGAGGCAUAGCGAUUGGUCUCCUCCACUGUCUCCCGCCAGCUCCUCUGUCAGAAACAGCUUGAAGCACUCUGCCUCAGAGGGAGAUGACAAGGGACUUUGUACCCCAGACUGGGACACAUCAAACCAACUGCGGGGCCAGGAGGGGUGAAAUGACUGGAGGCCUUGCAGCUACCGCAGUGCUCCAGUACUUCUCCCCCAGCAUCUUCAGUGGGAAAGGGGUCCUCAGAAUCGGGGUUCUCAAUGGCCACAAGUUUGGGGGUCAGCUCCUCAAUUUCACUGUCAGAAUCUGAUUCCUAAUUGUCAUACUCUGAAUCAUUGUCAGAAUUGACUAAAAUCUGAAUUUCAGCAUUUGUGAGUUGACAUUGCUAAUGCUACAGCUUAGCCCACUAGCUACAUACAUAAACAACAACACCGGAUUGCUCCAAGUGAGUGUCAGAGGUGAUGUCAUUGGCUGCAGAUGUUGUGACACUGAUGAAUUGUCUCCACAGAUGGUUUGUUUACAUAGCAGGUUAGGACAAUUAAUGUGGCAGGUUAGGAGAACUAACACAACAGGUUAGGAUAAUUAAGGUGGCAGGUUAGGAGAACUAACACAGCAGGUUAGGAUAAUUAACAUGGCAGGUUAGGAGAACUAACACAGCAGGUUAGGAUAAUUAAGGUGGCAGGUUAGGAGAACUAACACAGCAGGUUAGGAUAAUUAAGGUGGCAGGUUAGGAGAACUAACACAGCAGGUUAGGAUAAUUAAGGUGGCAGGUUAGGAGAACUAACACAGCAGGUUAGGAUAAUUAAGGUGGCAGGUUAGGAGAACUAACACAGCAGGUUAGGAUAAUUAACGUGGCAGGUUAGGAAAACUAACACAGCAGGUUAGGAUAAUUAACGUGGCAGGUUAGGAGAACUAACACAGCAGGUUAAUACACAGCAGCUAAUACAGGUUAAUACACAGCAACUUCGCCUUCAACAUGCAUACUACAGACUGACCCAACUUAUCUUGUCACCUCUUCUUAUUUUUGGUUGACACAGAAAAACAAACAUGGUGGUGCGCACACAAACUCUACCAACCGUUGGAUUACUUUACAUUUUAAUCAAUUAUUUUGAUCACUGGUGAGCUCACCCGUGAUUUGAUAAAUUGUAAAUAGUAAUUGC